rnacentral:rRNA from 1 species
UUUCCUACGGGUGGCAGCAGUAGGGAAUAUUGGACAAUGGGCGAAAGCCUGAUCCAGCAAUGCCGCGUGAGUGAUGAAGGCCUUAGGGUUGUAAAGCUCUUUUACCAGGGAUGAUAAUGACAGUACCUGGAGAAUAAGCUCCGGCUAACUCCGUGCCAGCAGCCGCGGUAAUACGGAGGGAGCUAGCGUUGUUCGGAAUUACUGGGCGUAAAGCGCACGUAGGCGGCUACUCAAGUCAGAGGUGAAAGCCCGGGGCUCAACCCCGGAACUGCCUUUGAAACUAGGUAGCUAGAAUCUUGGAGAGGUCAGUGGAAUUCCGAGUGUAGAGGUGAAAUUCGUAGAUAUUCGGAAGAACACCAGUGGCGAAGGCGACUGACUGGACAAGCAUUGACGCUGAGGUGCGAAAGCGUGGGGAGCAAACAGGAUUAGAUACCCUUGUAGUCCG